GGCUAAAUACUACUAUGCGACGAUAGUGAACUAGUACCGUGAGGGAAAGGUGAAAAGAACCCCUGCGAGGGGAGUGAAAUAGUACCUGAAACCGCACGCCUACAAGCAGUGGAAGGGCUAUGCCGCAAGGCAGCCUGACCUCGUGCCUAUUGAAUAAUGAGCUGGCUAGUUAAUCUCAGUGGCAAGGUUAAGCGUAAGCGAGCCGAAGCGAAAGCGAGUCUGAAUAGGGCGUUCAGUCGCUGGGAUUAGACGCGAAGCGGGAUGAUCUACCCUUGGCCAGGAUGAAAUCUGUGUAACAACAGAUGGAGGUCCGAACUAGUGUUGGUUGAAAACAGCUUGGAUGAGCUGAGGGUAGGGGUGAAAGGCUAAUCAAAUUCCGUGAUAGCUCGUUCUCUCCGAAAUAGCUUUAGGGCUAGCCUCGCGUGGUCCGUCCCGGUGGUAGAGAUCUGGCUGAACUAGGGGGCCUUCCCAGGCUACCGAAUUCAAUCAAACUUCGAAUGCCGGGCACGAGUAACGCGGGAG
rnacentral:rRNA from 1 species